UACGGAGGGUGCAAGCGUUGUCCGGAUUUAUUGGGUUUAAAGAGCGCGCAGGCGGUCGUUCAAGUCGCGUGUGAAAGCCCCGGCUCAACUGGGGAGGGUCACGCGAUACUGAUCGACUCGAAGGCAGGAGAGGGUAGUGGAAUUCCCGGUGUAGUGGUGAAAUGCGUAGAUAUCGGGAGGAACACCAGUGGCGAAGGCGACUACCUGGCCUGUUCUUGACGCUGAGGCGCGAAAGCUAGGGGAGCAAACGGG
rnacentral:rRNA from 1 species